UUGUGAAGUCUCACUGUUCUGAUUUUAUAGUAAUCAGGACAGGCUAAACAUUUGCUACAAUAAGACAGUACAUAUGCUCCUAGACCUAGUUCCUUACCAACUUAGAAAUAAUGGUGAUAAAU
rnacentral:snoRNA from 1 species